UUCCGCCGUACUAUCGCCCGUGUCCCAAGCAUUGACGUUAGUGUUUGGCCUGUCCCCCACCUUCGUGUAGUAGUUGUCCAGUUCUUCGUCUGACUCCUCCUCCCCGGGGCGGUCGUCUUUGUGGAGCGCAUGGUACUUGUAUCCGGUGACGGUCUGGACCUGGCGGUGCCAGUGUUUGACGAAGACCAAGGCGAGGAACACACAGAAAUUGAUGAAGUAACUGUACAUUACAUAUUUCAGGUGUCGCUUCCAGGCGUCUGGUAAAAACAAACGGGAAAUUAGUUAAGAUGUGAUCGAUAGCCUGUAAGAAUUGCUAUAAUGAUAUGAGACUAAUAAUUAUUUUUUGGAAGAGGAACAUCUAGCUUAAUUUUUCUUUUAGUUUUCGUUUUUGUCGAUGAAAUGAUUUGUUGGUUUUCAAGUUUUCUACAUACCGUUAUUCAUUUUUAAGAAUAAAAAAAAUUGGUCAUUU
rnacentral:sRNA from 1 species